rnacentral:lncRNA from 1 species
UAAAUCACCUUUUGAUUUUUGACUUUCCUUUUUGUAUUUCAAUAUUCGUGUAUUUUUUUUUGUCCGUAAAAAAGUUACAUUUUCUCUUUGGCUAUAUAUAGCCGAAUACCACAUUCUCUGUUUUCUUCCUGUUUCUGCAUUUAAUCCUGUCUUUUCUUUGCAGGAGUAGUUGGCGGUGGAGCAGGUGGCCACCAGUGGCGGUGACAGAGUCUCGGGGCUAGGUUCGGCGCCUAAAGGCAAUAGGGGCUAGGUUUUUCUUAUUUUCUGAAAUUAUUAGGAAUGGGCUAGGGUUUUAUUCUUUUUUUUGGGCUUUUAACCGGGUAGUGGGCUUGUUUUAAUUUAGUUUGGUGUUGGGUUUAGGGGUUAUAAACGGGUUUUGGGCCGGGCGAAUUGGGCUUGUAACAAAACUAUUUUUAAAAAAACUUUAAGAAGGGUUAAUUUUGUCUGGUCUUAUCGAAUCUCAACUUCUUCAAUGCCUCUCUUUUUUAAGUAACCUCAUUCUAACCCACUGCGACUCCAGGGAUAUAGGAACUGUAGUUUCAAUCUACUCCGCUACAACUUCAGGGAGAUGAGAUUCGUAUCUUCAAUCUGCUCCGCUGCAACUUAAGGGAGAUACGAUUUAUAACUUGUAGAUUUGGUCUAUUCUACUGUAACUUCAAGGAAAC